UGCGUAGGCGGCCAAGUAAGUCAGGAGUGAAAGUUUGCGGCUCAACCGUAAAAUUGCUUUUGAUACUGCUUAGCUAGAAUCAGGAUGAGGUUAGCGGAAUGUGGCAUGUAGCGGUGAAAUGCAUAGAUAUGCCAUAGAACACCAAUUGCGAAGGCAGCUGGCUAGACCUGUAUUGACGCUGAGGCACGAAAGCGUGGGGAGCGAACAGGAUUAGAUACCCUGGUAGUCCACGCCCUAAACGAUGCUCACUCGACGUAUGGCGCUAGACGUUGUGCGUCCAAGGGAAACCGUUAAGUGAGCCACCUGGGGAGUACGACCGCAAGGUUGAA
rnacentral:rRNA from 1 species